rnacentral:pre_miRNA from 1 species
CAUUUACUUCCUCCGUUCUAAAUUACUUGUUACAAGUAUAAAUAUAUCUAGAUGUACUUUAGUUUUAGAUAUAUUCAUUUCUUUGACGAGUAAUUUGGAACGGAGGAAAUAGUUU